UACAGAGGUCUCGAGCGUUGUUCGGAUUCAUUGGGCGUAAAGGGCGCGUAGGCGGCGGGGUAAGUCUGGUGUGAAAUCUCGGAGCUCAACUCCGAAAUUGCACUGGAUACUGCUCUGCUAGAGGGCUGGAGAGGAGAUCGGAAUUCACGGUGUAGCAGUGAAAUGCGUAGAUAUCGUGAGGAAGACCAGUGGCGAAGGCGGAUCUCUGGACAGCUCCUGACGCUGAGGCGCGAAAGCGUGGGGAGCGAUCCGG
rnacentral:rRNA from 1 species